GGAAGGGCAAAUCGACGUGGCGACGAAAACGGUCUUGAAAACCGCCGAGCUUGAAAGAGCCUUGGGAGUUCGACUCUCCCUCCUUCCGCCA
rnacentral:tRNA from 1 species